rnacentral:misc_RNA from 1 species
AACAACACCUCAGGCCAAAAGGUGGGCGUCUCGUCUCGUCUCGUCUCUUUUUGGACCCUGGAUCUAGGCUGUGAAACUUAUUCUGCAGCCGACCUCGAUCUCUUCUGGGUCGGCCAGCCUGAAAUGCAUCCCACCGCGGCAAGGGAAAGAAAGGCGUGAUAGUUUGACCUCUGAGUCGAUCUUUUCGCCGAAGAAAAACCCUUGGGCCUUGUGCCUCUCCUUCGCGGCGAUUAGCAGGACACGACGAAAGCGACCGGCAGAAGCAAUUCUCCGGUUGUCUUUUGAUCUUCA